UGCCGGCUGAUCGACUAAUGAUUCAUCUACUACCGAUUGACAGCGGACGAUUUAGACUAUCGGCAUAACAGAACUAUUAGCCGACGGUUGCUCAUAGAUUCUGCCGAUAUAAAGUUGGUUAUAUCGACGUAUGGUCGGCAAUCUGCUCAACAUACCAUAACCAUCACAAACGGUUAUCGACUAUGUUGCGGUCACUAAUUCUAUAUUUAUGGCUCGAUAAUUUAGCGCCAUAAAAAGUAAGACCACGUGCUCGACGGUUACACCAGAAUCACCUAUAAAAAGGGA
rnacentral:lncRNA from 1 species